UACGGAGGGGGCGAGCGUUAUUCGGAAUUACUGGGCGUAAAGCGCGCGCAGGCGGUCUUCCAAGUCAGUGGUGAAAGCCCGGAGCUCAACUCCGGAACUGCCAUUGAAACUGUGAGACUGGAGUACGAGAGAGGUGAGUGGAAUUCCCAGUGUAGAGGUGAAAUUCGUAGAUAUUGGGAAGAACACCGGUGGCGAAGGCGGCUCACUGGCUCGUAACUGACGCUCAGGCGCGACAGCGUGGGGAUCAAACAGG
rnacentral:rRNA from 1 species